rnacentral:siRNA from 1 species
AGGUGAGUGUCCGCGCUACCCGCC